GAGGGUAUAGCUCAGUUGGUGGAGUGCACGCUUAUCAUGCAGGAGGUCCUGGGUUCAAUCCCCAGUUCCUCCA
rnacentral:tRNA from 1 species